UACGAGUGCCCUAAGCGUUAUCCGGAAUCACUGGGCGUAAAGGGCGCGUAGGCGGCGCGGAUAGUCGGCGGUGAAAGCCCGGAGCUCAACUCCGGGUCGGCCGUCGAUACUUCCGGGCUUGAGCACUGUAGAGGCAGAUGGAAUUCCGGGUGUAGCGGUGGAAUGCGUAGAGAUCCGGAAGAACACCGGUGGCGAAGGCGGUCUGCUGGGCAGUUGCUGACGCUGAUGCGCGACAGCGUGGGGAGCAAACAGG
rnacentral:rRNA from 1 species